GGAAGACUAGUUACCAAACAAGAGUUUUUAGAGAGUUCCAUAGGCUCCUCUGCAAGAACUUGAUGGAUGCACACACAUGAGCCAAUAUAAGAUAUCACUACGAAAGGAAAUGUGACUUGAUCAACCAUAAGACACUACAGGAGUUGACCUAAUUGAAUGUAGAGGACUUAUACAAGGAACCUUUACUUUCGAAAGAGACUUAUACAAGGAACCUUUACUUUCGAAAGAGCCUGCAUUUAGCUCAGAUGAGUAUUAGUAUUCAGGCAAGCUACAUGACAAGUUAUCUUGUUGUGAGGAAAGACCUAUGUUGGCCAAUUGGGAGCUAAUUACGAGACCAUUCUUGGUGAAGUAGUAGGAUUGUAAGGGUCUCGACAAGUUUAGGAUACCUCUUGUGAGGAUCAGGGAGAGAGGUAUAUCGAAGACAACUACUAGGAGCAAUCACGAGGAAGGAAAGUUUAUUGAUGAGUCCUUCGACCUGAUCAAUGUCUUGCUAAGGUUUAGGUUUAGACUAAUCGAACGUUAAGGAAUUUUCUGGUUAUCGUCAGAGACGACUUCAAUGACAAUAUGUCGUUGUACACCUAGAUGGAGUUAGUUGGCAAGGAGGGGAAAGUUAUGAUGGUAUUAUGAACAUAACAAUUGUACGCUAAGUUCCCUAAGAGCAAGUUUUGGCUGUCUGAGAUGACAAUUGAGGUUAUGUGUAGUCAAACAAAAAGAUCACAGUGAACCCCGCUAAGUUUGAUGCAGUUACGAGGUGGUCAAGACUGACCACAGUCACUGAGUCAUGUAGUUUAUGGGGGUGUAUGGAGAAAUUGAGAAUGCCCGAAGAAGAAGAAGAAGAAAAAAAAAAAAAAAAAAAAAAAAAAAAAAAAAAAAAAAAAAAAAAAAAAAAAAAAACAAACGUAAUCCAUCGGCCAUAGUCCAAGAAGAUGGCUCUGUUUUCAAUUUUGUUUCUAGUAGAUUAUUUUGAGUUCAGUUGGAAGUUUCUUAGCUUGAUUUCUGAUGGAUGAUCUAACUUGAAUCGGUUUGACGGUAAUCAUUUUGGCAAAAGGACAAUCAGGUCCGGAGUUUUGUUGAGAUUGAGUUCAAACGGUGACCUAAGGAGAUUUCUAAACGGGUUCAGUAGUGUUAUAAGGUUCCACUGUGACAAACCCUCACUUGGGUUCCCUUCGUUAGGUGUUGUUGCUGAUGGAGCCAUUGGGAUUAGAGACAAUGGCUUCAAAGUAGCGCAGGAGAUGGGGCUGUGGCAUUGAAUAAAGUCAAGGCUAAGAACCCUAAACGAGUUCUUAUUUUGAUGAGCGAUAUUGGUGACGGUUAUCGAGCUUCUGUUGAAGCAAAUCAAGGCAGUCUUUAAAGAAGAAUUUGAGAAUGAUUAUCCGGUUAGACAUGGCUUAGUAGUCCAAUCGAGCUAUUCAGCAAAGUGUGAAAUCAAAUAGAAAUAGAGACCAGUGGAGCAUACAAACUCUUCUAACGGGGGUUUGCUAUGGUAAGUCCUUCUCUGAGUUCCUCGAGACGAGGGAAUCUUGAAAAAGAUUAUGACCUCACGAUAUAUCUUACAUGUUCCGCAAAGGAAGUACGAAAAUGUAUUAGAAUUUGAAAAGAUUUUAACAGUGGCCAGGGAUGGAGAAUGACAUAACGGUUUUUGUAGGUCGAUGUUUGACCUGCUAGUAGGUGAAGGUCCUGAGACAUCGCGCAACAUGAUUACUACAACCCUUAAAUGGUAUUGCAUGCUAUUCAUUGUAUUCGCGGCUGUUCCAGCCUAUGAAAGAGGAAUUUUUGGGAAUUUCAUUACAGGGUCACCAUUCUCAGCUGGAGUGAUAUCAACAAAUGACUUGGGAUUCAUUCCAGUGGGCAUGAAGGGACCUUUCAUGGACAAACAAGCCCUCCAUGGCACGCUCGCUUAGCGUUCAUGGGUGCUAUGAAAUGUUGGGUCUUUUAUUCUCAAAAUCAGGCUUGUAAAAAGGUAAAAGCCGGUCUGGCUUCAAAUUUAAACGAAGGUCAUUAUUCCUGUGAUUAUGUUUCUUGUGCUUAAUGGAUUUUGAAUUCUGGAGUAGGGAUAUAGAAUGCUUUGGACUAUAAAGGAAAAUAUGUUAUUAAGAAAAAGAAAAAGAAAAAAAAAAAAAAAAAAAAAAAAAAAAAAAAAAAAAAAGUCUGUANUUGAGCAAGGUUACCAAUUAUACCAAUUAUAGCUUUAGAGUUUAUGUGUUGAAAUGUUGUGCAGGAUUAGGAGAAAAUGUAAGUACGGAGGUCAAGGGUUCAGGGAUGGAUGCUUCUAGUGUUGUUUUAAAAAGGGAUAUGGCUACAUAAAUGUAUCUCUAGAUUGCCAAGAACACAACAGAGUUUUAACAAUAUCCGAGUAGUUGGGGACAGACCAACCAAAAUAGCUUACUUCAUUUCAGGCGAGACUACAUAUCUAGUAGAUCGAUAGGAUCUAUUAUAGAUCGAGAGUUAGUAUGCCUGAGGAGGUGCCAGUCUCUAUUGUGUCAGACCGUGACACUAGGUGCUUGUGCAACAAAGUGGUUCACUUAGUAAAAGUCUCAUGGUAUACCCAUUGUGAUGAAGAGGCAACUGGGAUGGUGAAGAGAUAUGAGAAAUGUCUAUCCCAAGUUCUUCCGAGAGAUAUCAACUUUCGAGGACGAAAGUUUUUAAGGAGGGGAGAAUUUGUAAUACCCGAGCCUCAAUUGAAAGUUUAAAAUCUAAGUUUACCUUAAAAGUCGAUCUCUCUCAAUUUUAUUGAAGGUCUUAAAGACCAAAAUCCGAGAUGAGACGGAAGAGAAAAAUGAUGAGGAAUAAAAGAACGGAAGAAAAAUAUAAAGGAAAAAUGAUAGAAAACUAAAAGGAUGGUCCAGGUAAAUCCCUGGAGGGUAAUUUGGUCAUUAUACCUCCUUUUUAGUAACAUACGAAUAAAAGAGAAAAAGGAAAAAAAUAAAGGGGAAAAGGAAGAGAAGGAGAAAGUGCGGAAAGAAAAGAAUGUAAAUAGUGAGAGAGAAAAUUAUAGAGAGAGAAGGAAAGUUCUAGAGAGAGAGGGAGGUAACCGCCGCUCCGGCCACGAGGAGUCCGGUUCCGGUCGAGCCUUCAUGAAAUCUUCACAGAACUUAGAGAAGAACAUUCUUAACUUUUAGAUCGUCCAAAACCAUCCAGAAACGAGGAAAAAUCUAAAGAGGAUUACGCUCAAAAUCUGUGAAGAAAUUUGGCCGAGACCUCAACCCAAAGGCGGAGAUCCGAGGGUCAUCCGAGAACGGGACUUAACUUAGAGAAAUCAGUAGUUUUGGACACCUCACGGGCAAAGAAACGCUAGCGAAAGGGCACGCGUCAACCAGGUGUUCACUGGCUGCUGGUCGAGGUAGAGGAGCGUUUGAGAGUUGUACAGUCACAGAGGGGGUCGUUCCGGAGCGUCAGUCCCUUUUCGGUCUUUUAGAGUCUUUUGUAUUUCAUUUUAUAUUUGCAAUUUCUUUUGUAAUAAUUAACAAACAAAAUUUCUCUC